rnacentral:tRNA from 1 species
GAAGGUACAGCUCAGUGGUAGAGCACGUGCUUAGCAUUCAUGAGGUCCUGGGUUCCAUCCCCAGUGUCUUCA